rnacentral:lncRNA from 1 species
CCGUUCUCUUUCCCCGUUUCCAUGGCUGCGGGGGGCGGGGGGAGCAGCAACGGCGCCGCCCGGGCCCCCCUUGCCUCAUCCCUCCGUCUAGCCCCGAGAUGUGGAGGAGCGGGACCUUGGAUGGUGAUCUAAGGGCGAGAGGGAGAAGUUAAAACCCACCGGGCCGAGAAGGGUAGAUGAGGAACUUAAAGCGUCCGGCGUCCCACCUCCGCCGCCGGUCGCGGCCCCUUUAAGAAGGAGCCACCGUCUCGAAUUGAACGGGGGAAGGGAAAGGAAAGCGGGAAAGACGGAACCACCGGGAAGUACCGAGGGAGGACCGGAAACCGAAGCGCAAACCGUCCCCUCUCGCCGACUUAUCCGUCAGGAGCAGAAAAAAUAAAUAAAGCCGUAGGGAUCGUCCCCAUCGAAGACGGCCGGCUUAAACUUUCCUGGGGCUUAGCCCCCUCUCAACGGCCCCUCCCCACGUCCUACCCGGGCUUCUCCCGGUGUAAACAGUCCCGUGAAUCAAACCCAGGAGAGCCCGGCGGGACGACCCAGACCCCCGGGGACAGCGGGCGAAGGGAAACCGGCUAAAAGAUCGGCUUCCGAGGACGACAGGCGGAGGCCCCGGUGACGCCCCCGGGACUACGGUGGGGCGCCGGGGCUCCCGCUUCGGCCCUCCCUUCCUCCCUCCACUCCCUCUUACCUGGCCGGCGCUGUUCCUCUUCCGGGCGAACCGGUUCCCCCUUGGAGCCCGCGCCGGAGGAUGGUCCGUUCCGAGCCGGGCUUGUCUGCAGAGCCGGGUAGGGCGCGAGGCGGGGAGCCUGGCUGAGCGUGUAGCGCGUCGCGGCGCUGCUCUUGUGAUGACAGCAACGCUCCCGGGGGAGGCCUCGGCUUCCAGGUUCCCGUGGCCGUCCCCGAGUUCACGCCAGCUGAGCACUUUACGUAACCUCUUUAUGUAAGCUGCACCUCCCGCCGCCGCUCUGGUCAGCGGAGAUUCCUGGUGGCCCAUCCCCCAGGAGGCCAGCGGAGAGCCGCGCCGCCUCUCUGCAGCCGAGGUAGACCCAGCCGCCGCGACAGCCCGGAACCAAUCACUGGCGAGAACACCCAGCCAACAAAAAGAGCGCGCCAAAAUCCCGCGAUUUGUACCGAGGGCCUUCGCGAGGCGCCUGCACUCCGCAAACGCCUUUCCGGACUUGACCUGCAUCGUACCUCUACGCCCGCACUCGGCACUUGAUGCUGAUUGGGGGAAUGGCUUAGGUGUAAUCGAUUCACAGCUGAGACCAGGGUUAGAACGCUAAUCUCCACGCCCACUAAUGACCCCAAUGAUCUCAGCCGCACUUAAUCCUCGGAGACAGUCAACCUUGUGUCUUCGUAGAUGUCUCACAGUUAAAGUACUUAGAACAGUGUUAAAAUACACACAAGACAGAUUAAAUGUAAUGUAAAACAAUAAACAAGAGUUUCUAGAAUUUCUAUAGCUUUUCUGUAUGUAAGUGGUCACAUAUACACACAAGGUGUAAGAAUAGUAAAGUCUCAUCUUUUUUUUUGCCAGAAUUACAUUGUUUUGCUAUAUUUUCAUGUUCUGUGCACAAAUAUGUAUGUAUGAAUGUAUACAUGUUGUAAAUCCUUUUAUAUUUAUAAGAUAUAUAUGUAUACAUAUAUAUAUAUAUACACACACACACACAUAUAUAUAUACACACACACAAAUAUAUGUGUGUGUGUGUGUUUUUUUCCCAAGGACAAAGAUACUCUCUAGCACACUCUCAAUACAGUGCAGAACCAUGAACAAUGCCAUGCUUUUGUUUACUAUGCCAUCUCAAGGUUUACCGAUUGUCCUUUCCUUUCUCUUCUAGUCCAAUAUACGAGUCCUCAGCACCUAGCCUUAUUGGAUAAGGAUUCCAACAGCCUCGUUGUUAACCGAAACUCCUUUACUUCUUUUCCUUGUUGUUGCUGGGUUGUUGGGUUUUUUUUUUUUUUUAAUUGGUGGUGAUUUGGGUUUUUUGUUUUUUGUUUUUGUUUUGUUGGUUGGUUGGGUUUGUUUGUUUGUUUGUUUGGAGACAGGGUUUCUCUACUUAGCUUUGGCUGGUCUUAAACUCAGGGAUCUGCCUGUCUCUGCCACCCAAGUGCUGGGAUCAAAAGGUGUGCACCACCAUACCCAACCUCACAAUUUAAACAACUUAAAUUUCUUUAAAGGGUUCAUCUUCAAAUAUUGUUACUAACCUAUUGGGGGUUAUAGGUUCAACACAUGAUUCUGAGGUAGGACCACAAUUCAGUUGGCAGCAAUCUCUUUAGAAAAUGACACUCAUCUGAGUAAUGAAUAGCAAGAAGCCAGUCAUGCCACAACUAGUGGUGGGGCAUUGCAGGGAGAAGAGACAGCAAGUACAAGAGUGGCCAGGGAGAUAACCUUGGUCAAUUAAAGAGACUAUUAGAAUGUAAAACAGCCUGGGUAAUGGCUCAGUGUGAACCUGAUGACUUGAUUUCAAUCCCCACCCCACCCCCCAAGCUGACAAAAAGGUGAAAAGAGAAUCAACUCCACAAAGUUGUCCUCUACCCUGGUACCCACAAUCCUACAGAGAUGGUGAUGAACCCCAGAGGCUCAGAGGUAUGAGUCCCCUGCAGCUGUUGAAUUAGCUAAUAAAAUACUUUCACAUUUGAUUCUU